GACGAACGCUGGCGGCGUGCUUAACAUAUGCAAGUCGAACGAAGAGCGAUGAAGCUUGCUUCUGUCAAUCUUAGUGCGAACGGGUGAGUAACGCGUAAUCAACCUGCCCUUCAGAGGGGGACAACAGUUGGAAACGACUGCUAAUACCGCAUACGAUCUAAACUCGGCAUCGAGGAUAGAUGAAAGGUGGCCUCUACAUGUAAGCUAUCACUGAAGGAGGGGAUUGCGUCUGAUUAGCUAGUUGGAGGGGUAACGGCCCACCAAGGCGAUGAUCAGUAGCCGGUCUGAGAGGAUGAACGGCCACAUUGGGACUGAGACACGGCCCAGACUCCUACGGGAGGCAGCAGUGGGGAAUCUUCCGCAAUGGACGAAAGUCUGACGGAGCAACGCCGCGCGAGUGAUGACGGCCUUCGGGUUGUAAAGCUCUGUUAAUCGGGACGAAAGGCCUUCUUGCGAAUAGUAGAAGGAUUGACGGUACCGGAAUAGAAAGCCACGGCUACUAC
rnacentral:rRNA from 1 species